rnacentral:rRNA from 1 species
GAAGCCGGAAUUGCUAGUAAUGGCAGGUCAGCAUACUGCCGUGAAUACGUUCCCGGGCCUUGUACACACCGCCCGUCACACCAUGAGAGUUGGGAAUACCCGAAGCCUGUGAGCUAACUUAUAGAGGCAGCAGUCGAAGGUAGAAUCAAUGAUUGGGGUGAAGUCGUAACAAGGUACC